CACACAAGUCUGCUUGUGUGAGGAGGAGGUUUUCUCAGCUUCUUCUGAAGAGAGGGAAAGAUCGUAUAAGGCAAGUAAACUUCAUAAUUUCAUGUUAUCAGUUGUUGUUGUGUUUUACUAAGAGUAAAAUAAUGUUUGUUUUUUGUUUUUGUAGAUUUUAAAAGCAAGACAUUGGAGAGCAUCAUUCCUUUGAGAUUUUAUAACUCAAACCAACUUUGGAGUUGUCUGAUUUGGAGAGUCAUUACUCUUGGUCUUCGCUCUUAGAGGCCACUGAUGAAGAACAGGCGAUGACUGGGAUGAAUCCUGGUCAGAGAGGAGAAUCUUCUUUCCCCUAAACUGAUGCAGCGGUGGUUUUAAAGAAGGACGCUGCCCUGGAUGAUGUAGAAGAUGUCACAUGCUGUGCAGAUGGGGUUUCUUCAUGAUUACAUCAGUUAUGCUAAAGAGAUCAUGAAAAUUGACAGUGAUGCAUGAUCUGUAUUCAUGGACUAUGAAACAAACUGUAAGUGUAUAAUUUGUUAAAAAAAAAAAAAAAAGUUAAAUGCUUUUUCUGUGUUGUUUAGUAGAAGAGUUUACACUCUUGUCAUUCAUACACCUGCUCACA